rnacentral:rRNA from 1 species
UACCAGCACCCCGAGUGGUCGGGACGAUUAUUGGGCCUAAAGCAUCCGUAGCCGGUUUUACAAGUCCUCCGUUAAAUCCAGCUGCUUAACAGAUGGGCUGCGGAGGAUACUAUAAGACUAGGAGGCAGGAGAGGCAAGCGGUACUCAGUGGGUAGGGGUAAAAUCCGUUGAUCCAUUGAAGGCCACCAGUGGCGAAGGCGGCUUGCCAGAAUGCGCUCGACGGUGAGGGAUGAAAGCUGGGGGAGCAAACCGG